GCAUUAAAACGUCUCAUGAUCAUAAGAGGUUCUGUAACCUCCGAGCGGCUAAACAAGAAAAGCGCCCGAUCCCUCCAAUAAUUUUCUAAAGACUUAGAGUGCUGCAAUUCCCUAAUACUUAAGAGACCACUUUCUAGCCUCUCUCAACCCCAACCGAUGUUCCUUACACCUAACUUCUUAACAAUGUUUAAAUAUAAACUAACAAAUAAAAGCUAUUGUUAUCUUGGAUAUGGCUGUUAGAAAGGUAACCAUGAUAAAAGUAGCAUCACUAUCUUCCAACGUUCAGAAUGAUAUCUUCAUCACAGUCUAAUUACGUUUCCAGGUUUAUUUUCGAAUUUCAGCAAAGGUUUUAGUUGCUACAUUUCCAGAAAACAGCCUGAUAGACCUGAAAAUGAGUGUGGUUCUGGGAGAGGUGAGACUACUGACAAAAGAGUAUCGCUCUUUUUUUUUAUGGCGUAAGGAUAAGGCGCCCGUGAUGACUCCAAGCCAAAAUGGUGUUUACUGCAGCCUGAAGAAACUUAUUGAGAGUUACAGGUGGCCACAAAAGCAGUACCAUCGGCGUAUUGGUAUAAUGAACAGAAUACCUUGGGUUAGAAAUAUCGGCAACAUAAAGAACAUGUAUAAGACGUGAUAGAACUGAGCCUUGAGUACCUCCAGCAGAAACAUUGAAGGAUCGAGAGAGAGUGCACGUCUUUCACACAGAAGUGAGUUGAUAAUUCGGAUGUUGUCCCAGUAUGAAAAUUGGUGGGCCAACAGAGGGCUGCGCUCUCUCUCCUUGGCCAGGAGAAGAAUCUAAAUGUAGUUAACUGUGGAGGUAUGGAUGGGAAGGUGCAAACCGUCUAAUAUUCUCUGAAGAGCUAUUUAUGCAUGCAGCAUAAUAUUCAGAUCUACCUAUUAUCUCACACAAGUCACUGCUCAAUACCAGAACUUGUGGUUGGGCUGGAUCAUAGACAUACUAAAAUACUAGAUCGUGUAUUGACACUGUAAUCUGUCUGAUUUGCUGAAGAUAGUGACGUGUGCAUCUCACCAUUUUUGGUACGAUUAAAACAUCAACAUCGACUAAUUUCCGUGUGUAUUUAUUAUUCUAACAAAAUGCUGAGUUGUGCGGCUUACGGUUGUACAAACAGUACAAAUGCUUUUCGGGGACAAAACGUUCAUCAGGAAAAACAUUUCACAAAGUUCCUAGGAAUCCUGAAGAAUGUAAGUUGGUUAAACUAAGGCGGUCCCUUGGAAUCCUGAAGAAUGUAAGUUGGUGAAACUAAGGCGGUCCUUAGGAAUCCUGAAGAAUGUAAUUUGGUGAAACUAUGGCGGUCCUUAGGAAUUCUGAAGAAUGUAAGUUGGUUAAACUAUGGCGGUCCAUAGGAAUCCUGAAAAAUGUAAGUUGGUGAAACUAUGGCGGUCCAUAGGAAUCCUGAAGAAUGUAAGUUGGUGAAACUAUGGCGGUCCAUAGGAAUCCUGAAAAAUGUAAGUUGGUGAAACUAAGAUGAGAGAAUUUCAAGUCAUCUCCCCAUGCUACCUUAUGUUAUUCUAAGUUAUGUUAUUCAUAAGUUACAGUUUGGUAAUUAUUAGAUAAAUCGUCUAAUGAUCCAUCUCAUAGAGAUAAUACUAAUUUGAAGCACUUUUAUCUAUUC